rnacentral:rRNA from 1 species
AGAGUUUGAUCCUGGCUCAGGAUGAACGCUGGCGGCGUGCCUAAUACAUGCAAGUCGAGCGAACAGAUAAGGAGCUUGCUCCUUUGAAGUUAGCGGCGGACGGGUGAGUAACACGUGGGUAACCUACCUAUAAGACUGGGAUAACUUCGGGAAACCGGAGCUAAUACCGGAUAACAUUUAGAACCGCAUGGUUCUAAAGUGAAAGAUGGUUUUGCUAUCACUUAUAGAUGGACCCGCGCCGUAUUAGCUAGUUGGUAAGGUAACGGCUUACCAAGGCGACGAUACGUAGCCGACCUGAGAGGGUGAUCGGCCACACUGGAACUGAGACACGGUCCAGACUCCUACGGGAGGCAGCAGUAGGGAAUCUUCCGCAAUGGGCGAAAGCCUGACGGAGCAACGCCGCGUGAGUGAUGAAGGGUUUCGGCUCGUAAAACUCUGUUAUUAGGGAAGAACAAAUGUGUAAGUAACUGUGCACAUCUUGACGGUACCUAAUCAGAAAGCCACGGCUAACUACGUGCCAGCAGCCGCGGUAAUACGUAGGUGGCAAGCGUUAUCCGGAAUUAUUGGGCGUAAAGCGCGCGUAGGCGGUUUCUUAAGUCUGAUGUGAAAGCCCACGGCUCAACCGUGGAGGGUCAUUGGAAACUGGGAAACUUGAGUGCAGAAGAGGAAAGUGGAAUUCCAUGUGUAGCGGUGAAAUGCGCAGAGAUAUGGAGGAACACCAGUGGCGAAGGCGACUUUCUGGUCUGUAACUGACGCUGAUGUGCGAAAGCGUGGGGAUCAAACAGGAUUAGAUACCCUGGUAGUCC